GCACACAAUAUAAGCACAUGUAAACUGAAAACAUAUGAUUUUUGUGUGCUGCAACUUUUCUAAACAAAAAAUACAAAUAAAAAUACAGCCACUCUGUAAUAAUAAUACUUCAAACCAUCAAAAAGAAAAAACAAACACAUAAAGCAAAGUGCAAAAGACAUGUCUGGUUCGAUAAAUAUUUGCACAACUGAAUUUUCAAAGAUGCUAAACAGUGCAAGUCAAAAUCAAGUUGGUGAACCCAAAAAUGAAGUAAUUGGUGAAAAGCAUGAGAUUAAGGAAGGAAAUUGGAGAUUUGAAUCACUUAAGAAGUUGCCACUUCUGCAAAGUUACAACUACUAUUCUGAGGCUUCGAUUUCUAUGAUUCUUGAUUGUGUUAGCCCUUGAACGACACUACUUUAUUGUACUUUUUUAUUUUUAUUUUUGGAUUUGCUUAAUUUUUAAUUUUUGUUUGCAAAUUCUGAGUCCCCACCUUGAUAUUUGUGGGGAAUAAUGUAUAGGUUUAAUUUUGGUUUCUGUAUAAGUUUGUGUAUAAAUCUGAUUUCUUAAUAUCUAACACUCUGGUUCAUUAUUUGUCUUUAAUUCAAUUUGUUCAUAUUAUAGUGGUAAGUAUGCAGAUUAAAGUCUUACUUUGUACAGGUAGGAAAUUCAGUAUAUACAUAAUAUAACUUUAAGUGAAAAGGUCCGAAAUAUACCUAUAACUUUGGCAAAAAUUGCUGUUACACGCCUCAACUUUGCGGGUCCUAUAAUCACUAGAUUAUUUUUUAUCAUAUUUCUGUGACAUAUAUUUGUCCAGUUGGACCACCGUGUGAAUACAUCACACUAAGCGUGUAAGUGUAUGAAGUGAUUCAGCUAAGCAAAUAUAUGCCACAGAAAUACGGUAAUAAAUGGUCUAGGGAUCAUAGGACCAGCAAAGUUAGAGGCGUGUUACAACAAUUUUCGCCAAAGUUUAGGUAUAUUUCAAACUUUUCCCUCUUAACUUCAAUUACAUUAUUAGUGCAUCUAAUCUAAAUCCAUGAAGGAUGAUAUGGGAAUAAUCAUGGAUAUGGACUUAUGGGAGUACAUUUUGGGUCCGAAACUUGGUGUGUGCAAUUGAAGUGCAAAAGGGAACCUAAGUGCACUAAAAAUCAGCCAAUAUAUUACACUUGAUGGGCACCUAAGUCUCUAAGGGCCUUUUGGUCUUUUUGUAUUUUAUUUGUAACCUAAUAUAAAUAGAACGUUGUAGGGCUUUUAGACUUAGUUUAUUGAUGAUGUUGUAAGUCUUAUGACAUUGGAAAACACAAGUCCUCUCUUCUCUUUGGAGGCAAAACCGAGACUAGGAUACAACAAUAGGGUGAAUACUCUUUUAUUGUUGUUUGCUUGGAAACAUUGAUGCUUGGGAGGUGGAUUUCGAUCUUGUGUCUUUGUAAGAGAUAGGUUUAUUGUUGUGUGUAGUGUUAAGGGUCAAAGAUUGUCCAUUCUUGGGUUCUUAAGAUUAUACCUUCAUGUGGUCUGUCUAUCUAUCCUUUUACCUUCUUGUAAUCUUAUUUAUUGUUUGUGUUGUAAUCUUGUGUUCUUGUUGUUAUUGUUAAAUUCGAAUCUUGUGUCUUCUUUUUUAUCAUCUUGUGUUAAUCUUGUUCUUGUUCUUGUUGCUGUUUUGGUGUUAAAAUACACAUUGUAUCUUGUAUUCUUCUUGUUGAUAGAGAAUCCGAGAGUG
rnacentral:lncRNA from 1 species